rnacentral:misc_RNA from 1 species
GAUGAAGAACGUAGCGAAAUGCGAUAAGUAAUGUGAAUUGCAGAAUUCAGUGAAUCAUCGAAUCUUUGUACGCACAUUGCGCCCGCCAGUAUUCUGGCGGGCAUGCCUGUUCGAGCGUCAUUACAACCCUCAGGCCCCCGGGCCUGGCGUUGGGGAUCGGCGGAAGCCCCCUGCGGGCACAACGCCGUCCCCCAAAUACAGUGGCGGUCCCGCCGCAGCUUCCAUUGCGUAGUAGCUAACACCUCGCAACUGGAGAGCGGCGCGGCCACGCCGUAAAACACCCAACUUCUGAAUGUUGACCUCGAAUCAGGUAGGAAUACCCGCUGAACUUAAGCAUAUCAAUAAGCGGAGGA